CAAUAGCGUAUAUUAAAGUUGUUGCGGUUAAAAAGCUCGUAGUUGGAUUUCUGUUGGGAACGACCGGUCCGCCCAUUGGGUGUGUAUCUGGCUUGUUCUCGGCAUCUUCUUGGUGAACGUUGCUGCACUUGACUGUGUGGAGCGCUACCCAGGACUUUUACUUUGAGGAAAUUAGAGUGUUUCAAGCAGGCAUAUGCCUUGAAUACAUUAGCAUGGAAUAAUGAUAUAGGAUUUCGGUUCUAUUUUGUUGGUUUUUAGAAUUGAAAUAAUGAUUGAUAGGGAUAGUCGGGGGCAUUCGUAUUUAACUGUCAGAGGUGAAAUUCUUGGAUUUGUUAAAGACGGAUUACUGCGAAAGCAUUUGCCAAGGAUGUUUUCAUUGG
rnacentral:rRNA from 1 species